UAGGAGGUGGUGAAGAGAAGUACUGAGUGGUGGCCAAAUGGCUGCCAACUUGGAAUGAACGUAAUUUAAGCAAUUCGGUGAGUAACUACUGGAGGGCAAGUCCUGGUGCCAGCAGCCGCGGUAAUUCCAGCUCCAGUGGCGUGAUUUAAAGUUGCUGCGUUUAAAACGCUCGUAGUUGGAUCACGCAGUAGUAAUCAGUUAUCUAGAUGCAGGCGAUGUUGACGAUUUUCCAAGUGAUUAUUGAAUCAUUGCCGGUCUAGAUGUUUAUGCUGGUUGCUACUAUUUGCACACAAGUAUGGCAUUUGGCCUUAAGUGAGUCGAGUGUCAUGUCUUGUGGAGUGUGCCUUGAAUAAAAACAGAGGUGCUCAAGCAGGCGUACGCUUGAAUGUUAUAGCAUGGAACGAACACAACGUGUAUUUGCGUACGUUUCAAGUGUCCGGGCAACUUGGGCAUUUGUACAUGUAUGCAGCACCCGCCAAAUACGGAUGUUGGUUUCGUAUUAGGUGAUGAUUAACAGGAGCGGUUGGGGCAUUGGUAUUUGGCCGCGCGAGAGGUGAAAUUCUUAGACCGGCCAAGGACUAACAGAUGCGAAGGCGUUUGUCUAGACCGUUUCCAUUAAUCAAGAACGAAAGUGGGAGGUUCGAAGACGAUCAGAUACCGUCCUAGUUCCCACUAUAAACUAUGCCGACCUGGGAUCAGUUUAGUGAUUUACAAGCUCUAGGUUGGUCCCCUGGGAAACCUCAAGUUUUUCGGUUACGGGGAGAGUAUGGUCGCAAGUCUGAAACUUAAAGGAAUUGACGGAAGGGCACCACCAGGGUGGAGCCUGCGGCGUUAAUUUGACUCAACACGGGAAACUUACCUGGUCCGGACAUCGAAAGGAUAAACAGACUAAUAGAUCUUAUUUGAUG
rnacentral:rRNA from 1 species